UACAGAGGAUGCAAGCGUUAUCCGGAAUGAUUGGGCGUAAAGCGUCUGUAGGUGGCUUUUUAAGUCCGCCGUCAAAUCCCAGGGCUCAACUCUGGACAGGCGGUGGAAACUACCAAGCUGGAGUACGGUAGGGGCAGAGGGAAUUUCCGGUGGAGCGGUGAAGUGCGUAGAGAUCGGAAAGAACACCAACGGCGAAAGCGCUCUGCUGGGCCGACACUGACACUGAGAGGCGAAAGCUAGGGGAGCGAAUGGG
rnacentral:rRNA from 1 species